UACAGAGGUCUCAAGCGUUGUUCGGAUUCAUUGGGCGUAAAGGGUGUGUAGGUGGCGCGCUAAGUCGGGUGUGAAAUUUCGGAGCUUAACUCCGAAACUGCAUUCGAUACUGGCGUGCUUGAGGACUGGAGAGGAGACUGGAAUUUACGGUGUAGCAGUGAAAUGCGUAGAUAUCGUAAGGAAGACCAGUGGCGAAGGCGGCCAUCUGGGACAACACUGACGCUGAGGCACGAAAGCGUGGGGAGCAAACAGG
rnacentral:rRNA from 1 species